UAGGGAAUUUUCGGCAAUGGGGGGAACCCUGACCGAGCAACGCCGCGUGAGUGAAGACGGCCUUCGGGUUGUAAAGCUCUGUUGUAAGAAAAGAUAAACUAGGAGAGGAUCUUAGUCAGACAUUAUCUUACCAGAAAGCCACGGCUAACUACGUGCCAGCAGCCGCGGUAAUACGUAGGUGGCGAGCGUUAUCCGGAAUUAUUGGGCGUAAAGGGUGCGUAGGCGGUCUGUUAAGUUCAUGGUCAAAUUGUGGGGCUCAACCCCAUCGCGCCAUGGAUACUGGCAGACUAGAGUAUUGGAGAGGCAAGUGGAAUUCCAUGUGUAGCGGUAAAAUGCGUAGAUAUAUGGAGGAACACCGGUGGCGAAGGCGACUUGCUAGCCAAAGACUGACGCUGAGGCACGAAAGCGUGGGGAGCAAAUA
rnacentral:rRNA from 1 species